GGGGCCGGCAANAGUGGGAUNGGUUAUUGAUAUANGCGAAGACCUUACCCAGACUUGACAUGAGUGACAGNGCAAGAGAUGUAUNUUCCGUAAGACCGNUACACAGGUGCUGCAUGGCUGUCGUCAGUUCGUGCCGUGAGGUGUUGGGUAAGUCCCGCAACGAGCGCAACCCUUAUCAUUAGUUGCCAGCAUUUCGGAUGGGAACUCUAGUGAGACUGCCUGGGUUAACCAGGAGGAAGGUGAGGAUGACGUCAAGUCAGCAUGGCCCUUAUGUCUGGGGCAACACACGUGCUACAAUGGCCGGUAUAGAAGGCAGCAAUACCGUAAGGUGGAGCAAAUCCCCAAAACCGGCCUCAGUUCGGAUUGUAGUCUGCAACUCGACUACAUGAAGUUGGAAUUGCUAGUAAUGGCGCGUCAGCUAUAGCGCCGUGAAUACGUUCCCGGGCCUUGUACACACCGCCCGUCACAUCAGGAAGUUGGUUUUGCCCGAAGUCGCCGACUCAACCGCAAGGGGAGAGGCGCCGAANGGAGGCUGAGAUGGAA
rnacentral:rRNA from 1 species